UAAAAGGCAGCUCAUGUGGCAUUCGAUGAAGACCAACUUAAGACUAUUGUGGAUGCUCUGAUAGACCUUCCUGGAGAAAUUAAAGAAGGUUCACAUUGACACUAGUACAAGUCACUCAUCAUCAAAAUGUAGCUCACAUGUAUGUGUGUCGAAGCUAUUUGAUAAUGUUAGUUACACUCCUCAAAAUCAAUAAACACAAGGAAAACUCUUAACAAGGUUAGCAAUACAAUGUUAAUAGAGUAAAAACUGCUCAUCAAAUGUGCCACAUUCGAACAAUUUUCAAUGAGAUUGGAAAACCAAUAAACUCUUGCCUCAUGUCAGAGAGUUAGUCAAUACAGGUACCUGCUGUUAAAGUUUCAGAAAAGGGGACAGAUGUUAUUCAGUGGAAGAAAAUUAUUACAGAGUCAACAUGGUUCAGAAAAAAGAAAGAAUUGGAAAACAGCAUUUGAGCUACAUGCAGUAUAUUUGAAAGACCAUAUUGGUUGUACAACAAACUGAAAGUUACCAGAAAUACAGAUGGCAUUUUUACUUGGCGGGUUCAAGAAAGUUAAUAAGUAAUACAUGACUUCUUCUGGAAAAGCUAUCCCAUUGGCUGUCCCAUACAAUGAUGGUAUGAGACAACUGUAAAAUUAAAAAAUUCCAGCAGUUCAGCUAGCAGAUAUAGAGUUUGGGUAACCGGUUGCUUACCCUGGGCCGCACGGAUCCAGAGGUCUAGAAGCUCCCAAAAUGAGUUUGUGGUUCUACAUAAAAAACAGGACAGACAACGACUCACCAACAUGAUUCAAGGGAUCAACAUGCGUUCUUGAAUCUCCAGGGACCAUUCAAUUUCGCAAACGCAUAAUUAUAUUUAUAAAGUUCUUUGUUAUCAUUUUAAUAUUUAUGACUUCUAACGAUUUUUAUUGUUUUUCUAACAGGACGAAUUGCAUCCUACAACCAGCCACACUCUCGAGUGGUGGAAAAUUGUUGCUAAAGUGCAACCUCUACGCAAUCAAGAUCGAUAGUGUCGUUGGCCUGGCGGUCCAUCUAGUGGCACACCCAAAUUACAGGUAAAUCUGAUUUUUGUUUGAACGCGGUCAUCAGCCAGGAACUGCAGGAGAACAGUUUGAAUCGAUUCCUCUGUAAACUUUAUCACACUAUUCUAUAAAAUCCACAAUAACAGAUGUGUCAUUUAACAACAAUAAAUGGGCAGUGAUGCAAAUUUGGAAACUAACUAACUAUAAAUGAAUGACACUCUGAAUAUCGUCCACAAAGGUAUGUGAUAAAUAUGGAGAAACUUUCAGACAAAUCAAGUAUUUCAAAAAAGCCCACGUUGAUGUUGUACUAAUUCGCUCAUGCAUCAUGUUCAACUGUGUCAAAAAUCACGAUAGAUAAUAAAUCGAUAUGAUGAGUCGACCGCGCCAUCUAUGAAUAUAGUUUAUAAGUUUCAAUAUUUUCCUGUUUUAACAUAAGAGCCUAGGGACUCUAUUGAUGUGGGAUGUGGGGUACAGAC